GAUGAACGCUAGCGGCAGGCCUAACACAUGCAAGUCGAGGGAGAAGCCCUUCGGGGCAGAAACCGGCGCACGGGUGCGUAACGCGUAUGCAACCUACCUUUCACAGGGGGAUAGCCCGAAGAAAUUUGGAUUAAUACCCCAUAAUAUUAUUGGAUGGCAUCAUUUGAUAAUUAAAAUUACGAUGGUGAAAGAUGGGCAUGCGUCCUAUUAGCUAGUUGGAGUGGUAACGGCACCCCAAGGCUACGAUAGGUAGGGGUCCUGAGAGGGAGAUCCCCCACACUGGUACUGAGACAGGGACCAGACUCCUACGGGAGGCAGCAGUGAGGAAUAUUGGUCAAUGGUCGGAAGACUGAACCAGCCAUGCCGCGUGCAGGAAGAAUGCCUUAUGGGUUGUAAACUGCUUUUAUAUGGGAAGAAUAAGGAGUACGUGUACUUUGAUGACGGUNCCA
rnacentral:rRNA from 1 species